UACAGAGGUGGCAAGCGUUGUUCGGAAUUACUGGGCGUAAAGGGCGCGUAGGCGGCCUUCUAAGUCGAACGUGAAAUCCCCGGGCUCAACCCGGGAACUGCGUCCGAUACUGGAGGGCUUGAAUCCGGGAGAGGGAUGUGGAAUUCCAGGUGUAGCGGUGAAAUGCGUAGAUAUCUGGAGGAACACCGGUGGCGAAGGCGACAUCCUGGACCGGUAUUGACGCUGAGGCGCGAAAGCCAGGGGAGCAAACGGG
rnacentral:rRNA from 1 species